GAUGAAGACGUAGCGAAAUGCGAUAAGUAAUGUGAAUUGCAGAAUUCAGUGAAUCAUCGAAUCUUUGAACGCACAUUGCGCCCGCCAGUAUUCUGGCGGGCAUGCCUGUUCGAGCGUCAUUUCAACCAUCAAGCCCCCCGGCUUGUGUUGGGGACCUGCGGCUGCCGCAGGCCCUGAAAAGCAGUGGCGGGCUCGCUGUCACACCGAGCGUAGUAGAUCUCAUCUCGCUCAGGGCGUGCUGCGGGUUCCGGCCGUUAAACCACCUUCAUAACCCAAGGUUGACCUCGGAUCAGGUAGGAAGACCCGCUGAACUUAAGCAUAUCAAUAAGCGGAGGA
rnacentral:misc_RNA from 1 species